rnacentral:ncRNA from 2 species
CCAAUAGCGUAUAUUAAAGUUGUUGCAGUUAAAAAGCUCGUAGUUGAAUUUCGGGGUCAGUAGGUCGGUCGUGCCACUGGUAUGAACUGGUUUUACUGAUUCCUCCCUCUUGAAGAACUGUAAUGCCAUUAAUUUGGUGUUGCAGGGAAUCAGGACUGUUACUUUGAAAAAAUUAGAGUGUUUAAAGCAGGCUUUAGCUUGAAUACAUUAGCAUGGAAUAAUGAAAUAGGACGUUUGAUCCUAUUUUGUUGGUUUCUAGGAUUGACGUAAUGAUUAAUAGGGAUAGUUGGGGGCAUUAGGAUUCAAUUGUCAGAGGUGAAAUUCUUGGAUUUAUUGAAGACUAACUACUGCGAAAGCAUUUGCCAAGGAUGUUUUCAUUAAUCAAGAACGAAAGUUAGGGGAUCGAAGACGAUCAGAUACCGUCGUAGUCUUAACCAUAAACUAUGCCGACUAGGGAUCGGAUGAUGUUAAUUUUUUAAUGACUCAUUCGGCGCCUUACG